GCAAACUUGGUCAUUUAGAGGAAGUAAAAGUCGUAACAAGGUUUCCGUAGGUGAACCUGCGGAAGGAUCAUUACCGAGUGAGGGUCCUCGUGGCCCAACCUCCCACCCGUGACUAUUGUACCUUUGUUGCUUCGGCGGGCCCGCCAGCUUGCUGGCCGCCGGGGGGCAUCUGCCCCCGGGCCCGCGCCCGCCGAAGACCCCAAUUGAACACUGUUCUGAAAGCCUGUAUGAAUUCGAUUCUUUGUAAUCAGUUAAAACUUUCAACAAUGGAUCUCUUGGUUCCGGCAUCGAUGAAGAACGCAGC
rnacentral:misc_RNA from 1 species